GUAUUACUCCCUCCGUCUCAAAAUUCUUGUCUUAAAUUUGUCUAGAUACGGAUGUAUAUCUUAUACAUCCGUAUCUAGACAAAUUUAAGACAAGAAUUUUGAGACGGAGGAAGUAUUAU
rfam:Triticum aestivum genome assembly, contig: Triticum_aestivum_CS42_TGACv1_scaffold_434045_5DL